rnacentral:rRNA from 1 species
UACGGGGGGGGCAAGCGUUGUUCGGAAUUACUGGGCGUAAAGGGCUCGUAGGCGGCCAACUAAGUCAGACGUGAAAUCCCCAGGCUCAACCUGGGAACUGCGUCUGAUACUGGAUGGCUUGAAUUCGGGAGAGGGAUGCAGAAUUCCAGGUGUAGCGGUGAAAUGCGUAGAUAUCUGGAGGAACACCGGUGGCGAAGGCGGCCCUCUGGACGGAUACUGACGCUGAGACGCGAAAGCGUGGGGAGCAAACAGG